rnacentral:lncRNA from 1 species
AAAGGGCUGGAAAAAAAGGAGUUCUUAAAGCCGAAAUGAAUCUCGUGUUUAAGAGGCCUUUGAAGCUGGGUAUAUUAGAGAGUCAGAAGGAGACAAAAAUCAUGAAGAUCAUGAUGUAAAUGGAGAACAGAAGUAAUAAAAGUAAAAGAUUGGGAGACUUGGAAUGAACCUGAGCUCCAGUAACAAGCUCCAGCCUCUGAAGGGUUAGAGCCACAAGGACAUCAGAAAGAGGAUCAGGGCAGGAAUUCAGGGACUCCUAGCCCUUCAAAGACUUGAGUAUCCUACAGCUGCUAAAAAUACUGAAGAUCUGAAGUGCAGCAAAAACAGGAGGCAGUUCUACUGACAACUUUUCAAAGAGGGGGAGAAAGGAAAAGAGAAGGAGCCACAGAGGGAAUGAAAACCAAGUGGUGCAAAGGAAAGCAAUGUGUGAAUCAGGGAACAGUUUUUAAUCAACAUUCGAUUACACAGAUAUCAUGAUGUCCUAAGGAAUUCUGAUUCUGACAACUAUCUCUAGGGAAAGAAAAUCUCGCUACCUGCUUAUGAACGAUGGUCUAUAUCUCCUAAGAAAAUCUCCACUUAUAUUCAAUUUUGCUCAAGAAGAAGGGAAUGUGGAUCUAUAUCUCUUGAGAAUCAGAAUGCAGUGAACAAAAGCAGAAAUGAAGAUCAAGAGUGUCAACGUAUAAUUGGAAAUAAGCAACAGAGAUUGGAAAAAUAAAUCUCAAAGAACAAGU